rnacentral:rRNA from 1 species
UACGGGGGGUGCAAGCGUUGUUCGGAAUCAUUGGGCGUAAAGAGCGUGUAGGCGGCUCGAUAAGUCAGAUGUGAAAGCCCUGGGCUUAACCCAGGAAGUGCAUUUGAAACUAUCGUGCUUGAGUAAGGGAGAGGAAAGUGGAAUUCCUGGUGUAGAGGUGAAGUUCGUAGAUAUCAGGAGGAACACCGGUGGCGAAGGCGACUUUCUGGCCCUAUACUGACGCUGAGACGCGAAAGCGUGGGUAG